CACCGCGGUUAUACGAAAGACCCUAGUUGAUGGAUACGGCGUAAAGGGUGGUUAAGGAAAUAAAAUAAUAAAGCUAAAGAUUUCCCAAACUGUCAUACGCCUCCGGAAAUACGAAACCCAAAUACGAAAGUAACUUUAAACUAAUAUACCUGACCCCACGAAAGCUAAGAAA
rnacentral:rRNA from 1 species